rnacentral:rRNA from 1 species
GGUUUUAAUUCGAUGAUACGCGAGGAACCUUACCCGGGCUUGAACUGCAGGAGAACGAUUCAGAGAUGAUGAGGUCCUUCGGGACUCCUGUGGAGGUGCUGCAUGGUUGUCGUCAGCUCGUGCCGUGAGGUGUCGGCUUAAGUGCCAUAACGAGCGCAACCCCUCUCCGUAGUUGCCAUCGGGUGAUGCCGGGCACUCUGCGGACACUGCCACCGUAAGGUGUGA